CAUCUCUUCUGUUGAGGGGGCUGGACUAUGGUAUAUUGACUGUCCAAUUGUCUGACAACCUACAUGGCUAUUUACCUCAUAAGUAAGUGUGUGUCCAAUAACAAUCAAAGGCACUGAAUGUUAUCGGCCCCAAACAGAUCGGCUGGACAAUGUCCAACAACAGAAGAGAGGAAGAUCAUCUACACUCCCCGCAAUGUGGUUUGCCAGCACAAGUCUGCAUUUUAUUCCUUGGAGACCUGCAAAAAUUAAAAACCGUGGUGAAAUGCCAGUGAACAUCUGACUAUGAAACGGGCCUGAGGCAACAAGUCCGGAAAGCUGAUGAUGAAGCGGGCUGCCAGUCUGCAGUGUCACUCGCCAAAGUGUUUCAGGAGGCCAUAGUAAUUGAUCAGCUAUAGGAGAGCUUGAGUGAAGGGCAUGAUGUCUGGAGAGU